rnacentral:rRNA from 1 species
UAUCUCUGUAGAGUCUGCAUAUCAAUAAGCGGAGGAAAAGAAACUAACAAGGAUUCCCUUAGUAACGGCGAGUGAAGCGGGAAGAGCUCAAAUUUGAAAUCUUCAAGGUUCUACCUUGACGAAUUGUAGUUUAAAGAAGUGUUUUCUGUUAGAUGAGUAGCAAAAGUUCCUUGGAAUGGGACAUCAUAGAGGGUGAGAAUCCCGUAUUUGGUUAUUCAUUCUAGCUUUGUGAUACACUUUCAAAGAGUCGGAUUGUUUGGGAAUGCAGUCCAAAAUGGGUGGUAAAUUUCAUCUAAAGCUAAAUAUUGGCGAGAGACCGAUAGCGAACAAGUACCGUGAGGGAAAGAUGAAAAGAACUUUGAAAAGAGAGUUAAACAGUACGUGAAAUUGUCAAAAGGGAAGCGUUUGACACCAGUGUUGUUUUUCCGAAAAUCAAUUACGAAUGGCUUGAUUUUGUGUUGUAUUGACCUUAUCAAGCUUUCUUCACUUUUUUCGAGUCUUUCUUAAUGCACUUUUCGGUUAACAAGUCAACAUCAAUUUCUUUUGUUGUAAAAGAGUAUUCGGAAGGUGGCUUUCUUUUCGGAGAAAGUGUUUAUAGCCCUAUACUUCUACAAUCGGAGAGAUUGAGGUCUGCAGCGUAGAUCCUUCGGGGUUAGAUACACUUGUGCUAAGUUGUAGCUUUUCAUAGACAACUUGUUGACUAUGUUUAGUCAUGCGGCUUACUCGCUUGUGCUAUUUUACCUACGCUUAGGAUGUUGACUGAUAUGUAGUCGUA